rnacentral:rRNA from 1 species
UACAGAGGGUGCAAGCGUUACUCGGAAUUACUGGGCGUAAAGCGUGCGUAGACGGUUGCGUAAGUCAGAUGCGAAAGCCCCGGGCUCAACCUGGGAAUUGCAUUUGAGACUGCGUAGCUAGGGUGCGGAAGAGGGAAGCGGAAUUUCCGGUGUAGCGGUGAAAUGCGUAGAUAUCGGAAGGAACACCAGUGGCGAAAGCGGCUUCCUGGUCCAGCACCGACGUUCAGGCACGAAAGCGUGGGGAGCAAACAGG